rnacentral:rRNA from 1 species
GCAGGCUACUCUUGACACUAAAGCCCGAAUGUUAACUGCAUGGAAUGAUGGAAGAUGAUCUCGGUUCCAUUUUGCUGGUUCCCUUUGGGAAUCCGAGUUAAUGAUAAACAGGGACUGUCGGGGGCAUCCGUACUACGACGCGAGAGGUGAAAUUCAGUGACCGUCGUAGGACGAACAACCGCGAAAGCAUUUGCCAAGAAUGUCUUCGUUGAUCAAGAACGAAAGUCAGAGGAUCGAAGGCGAUCAGAUACCGCCCUAGUUCURACCCUAAACGAUGCUGACCAGCUAUUCGCUAUCGUUAUUCCCAUGACGUGGCGAGACGCCCCCGGGAAACCUCGAGUCUUUGAGUUCCGGGGGUAGUAUGGUUGCAAAACUGAAACUUAAAGGAAUUGACGGAAGGGCACCACCAGGAGUGGAGCCUGCGGCUUAAUUUGACUCAACACGGGAAACCUCACCAGGCCCGGACACCAGAAGGAUUGACAGAUUAAGAGCUCUUUCUCAAUUUGGUGGGUGGUGGUGCAUGGCCGUUCUUAGUUGGUGGAGUGAUUUGUCUGGUUAAUUCCGGUAACGAACGAGACUCUGGCCUACUAACUAGUGGGCGGGCGUUCCGGUAAGGGGCCCCGCCCGACAAUGUCUUCUUAGAGGGAUGAGCAGCGAGUAUAGCUGCAGGAGAUUGAGCAAUAACAGGUCUGUGAUGCCCCUUAGAAG